AGUAGUGGCGAGCGAAAUCGGAUGAGCCUUUACGUUUUAGCGCGCAGGAUAGUCGAACGGAAUGGAAAGUCCGGCCGUAGCAGGUGAUAGCCCUGUAGACGAAAUUCUGUGUGUGGAACUAAGCGUAAGACAAGUAGGGCGGGACACGUGAAAUCCUGUUUGAAGAUGGGGGGACCAUCCUCCAAGGCUAAAUACUCGUGAUCGACCGAUAGUGAACCAGUACCGUGAGGGAAAGGCGAAAAGAACCCCGGAAGGGGAGUGAAAUAGAUCCUGAAACCGUAUGCAUACAAACAGUAGGAGCCUCCUUGUGGGGUGACUGCGUACCUUUUGUAUAAUGGGUCAGCGACUUACAUUCAGUGGCAAGGUUAACCGAAUAGGGAAGCCGUAGCGAAAGCGAGUCCGAAUAGGGCGAAUUAGUCGCUGGGUGUAGACCCGAAACCAGAUGAUCUAUCCAUGGCCAGGUUGAAGGCACGGUAACACGUGCUGGAGGACCGAACCCACUAAUGUUGAAAAAUUAGGGGAUGAGCUGUGGAUAGGGGUGAAAGGCUAAACAAAUCUGGAAAUAGCUGGUUCUCUCCGAAAACUAUUUAGGUAGUGCCUCAAGUAUUACUGCGGGGGGUAGAGCACUGUUAUAGCUAGGGGGUCAUGGCGACUUACCAAACUAUGGCAAACUCCGAAUACCCGCAAGUACAGCUUGGGAGACAGAGCACCGGGUGCUAACGUCCGGACUCAAGAGGGAAACAACCCAGACCGCCAGCUAAGGUCCCAAAUUAUCGCUAAGUGGGAAACGAAGUGGGAAGGCAUAGACAGUCAGGAGGUUGGCUUAGAAGCAGCCAUCCUUUAAAGAAAGCGUAAUAGCUCACUGAUC
rnacentral:rRNA from 1 species